rnacentral:rRNA from 1 species
AUUGAACGCUGGCGGCAGGCCUAACACAUGCAAGUCGAACGGAGCGGCGGACGGGUGAGUAAUGCCUAGGAAUCUGCCUAGUAGUGGGGGAUAACGUCCGGAAACGGGAGCUAAUACCGCAUACUAUCAGAUGAGCCGAGGUCGGAUUAGCUAGUUGGUGGGGUAAAGGCCCACCAAGGCGACGAUCCGUAACUGGUCUGAGAGGAUGAUCAGUCACACUGGAACUGAGAAACGGUCCAGACUCCUACGGGAGGCAGCAGUGGGGAAGAUUGCACAAUGGGGGAAACCCUGAUGCAGCCAUGCCGCGUGUAUGAAGAAGGCCUUCGGGUUGUAAAGUACUUUCAGCGGGGAGGCGUUACCCGCAGAAGAAGCACCGGCUAACUCCGUGCCAGCAGCCGCGGUAAUUC